rnacentral:rRNA from 2 species
GGUCCUAAGGUAGCGAAAUUCCUUGUCGGGUAAGUUCCGACCUGCACGAAUGGCGUAAUGAUGGCCACACUGUCUCCUCCAGAGACUCAGCGAAGUUGAAAUGUUUGUGAUGAUGCAAUCUCCCCGCGGAAAGACGGAAAGACCCCAUGAACCUUUACUGUAGCUUUGUAUUGGACUUUGAACGGAUCUGUGUAGGAUAGGUGGGAGGCUUUGAAGCCAGGACGCUAGUUCUGGUGGAGCCGACGUUGAAAUACCACCCUGGUGCGUUUGAGGUUCUAACCUAGGUCCCUAAUCGGGAUCGGGGACAGUGCAUGGUAGGCAGUUUGACUGGGGCGGUCUCCUCCCAAAGCGUAACGGAGGAGUUCGAAGGUACGCUAGGUACGGUCGGACAUCGUGCUAAUAGUGCAAUGGCAUAAGCGUGCUUAACUGCGAGACUGACAAGUCGAGCAGAUGCGAAAGCAGGACAUAGUGAUCCGGUGGUUCUGUAUGGAAGGGCCAUCGCUCAACGGAUAAAAGGUACUCUGGGGAUAACAGGCUGAUACCGCCCAAGAGUUCAUAUCGACGGCGGUGUUUGGCACCUCGAUGUCGGCUCAUCUCAUCCUGGGGCUGUAGUCGGUCCCAAGGGUAUGGCUGUUCGCCAUUUAAAGAGGUACGUGAGCUGGGUUUAAAACGUCGUGAGACAGUUUUGUCCCUAUCUUCCGUGGGCGCUGCAGAUUUGAGGAAGCCUGCUCCUAGUACGAGAGGACCGGAGUGGACACACCUCUGGUGUACCUGUUGUCACGCCAGUGGCAUCGCAGGGUAGCUACGUGUGGAAGAGAUAACCGCUGAAAGCAUCUAAGCGGGAAACUCGUUUCAAGAUGAGAUCUGCCGGGGCCUUCGAGCCCCCUGAAGGGUCGUUGUAGACCACGACGUUGAUAGGCUGGGUGUGGAAGCGCAGUAAUGCGUUAAGCUAACCAGUACUAAUUGCCCGUGCGGCUUGACCCUAUAACUUUG